rnacentral:rRNA from 1 species
CAGUCGUACUUAUGGGUAAUCAGCCUUUUGGGUGUGAUUUUGUGGAGCGUGAGGAGUUAAACGCCUUCAUGCCUGCAUAUUCGUGCACUUUGGGUGUACUUGCUCGUGUGGUAGGUUAACAUCAAUUUUGGUCAUCAAUAAAAUGGCUGGAGGAAUGUAGCUUCGGUCUCGUAUUGAAGUGUUAUAGACUCUGGUAGAUGUGACGGUUGGAUUGAGGAUUGCAACGGAUACCCUUCGGGGCUACCCGUCUGAUCUCUGAAGGUUGCUCCGGUGCCGAAAGCGUGCUUACGGUCAU